rnacentral:rRNA from 1 species
GUGUAUGAAGAAGGCCUUCGGGUUGUAAAGUACUUUCAGUUGUGAGGAAGGCGUUGGAGUUAAUAGCUUCAGCGCUUGACGUUAGCAACAGAAGAAGCACCGGCUAACUCCGUGCCAGCAGCCGCGGUAAUACGGAGGGUGCGAGCGUUAAUCGGAAUUACUGGGCGUAAAGCGCAUGCAGGCGGUCUGUUAAGCAAGAUGUGAAAGCCCGGGGCUCAACCUCGGAACAGCAUUUUGAACUGGCAGACUAGAGUCUUGUAGAGGGGGGUAGAAUUUCAGGUGUAGCGGUGAAAUGCGUAGAGAUCUGAAGGAAUACCGGUGGCGAAGGCGGCCCCCUGGACAAAGACUGACGCUCAGAUGCGAAAGCGUGGGGAGCAAACAGGAUUAGAUACCCUGGUAGUCCACGCCGUAAACGAUGUCUACUUGAAGGUUGUGGCCUUGAGCCGUGGCUUUCGGAGCUAACGCGUUAAGUAGACCGCCUGGGGAGUACGGUCGCAAGAUUAAAACUCAAAUGAAUUGACGGGGGCCCGCACAAGCGGUGGAGCAUGUGGUUUAAUUCGAUGCAACGCGAAGAACCUUACCUACUCUUGACAUCCAGAGAAUUCGCUAGAGAUAGCUUAGUGCCUUCGGGAACUCUGAGACAGGUGCUGCAUGGCUGUCGUCAGCUCGUGUUGUGAAAUGUUGGGUUAAGUCCCGCAACGAGCGCAACCCUUAUCCUUGUUUGCCAGCACGUAAUGGUGGGAACUCCAGGGAGACUGCCGGUGAUAAACCGGAGGAAGGUGGGGACGACGUCAAGUCAUCAUGGCCCUUACGAGUAGGGCUACACACGUGCUACAAUGGCGUAUACAGAGGGCUGCAAGCUAGCGAUAGUAAGCGAAUCCCACAAAGUACGUCGUAGUCCGGAUUGGAGUCUGCAACUCGACUCCAUGAAGUCGGAAUCGCUAGUAAUCGUGAAUCAGAAUGUCACGGUGAAUACGUUCCCGGGCCUUGUACACACCGCCCGUCACACCAUGGGAGUGGGCUGCACCAGAAGUAGAUAGCUUAACCUUCGGGAGGGCG